AACGAACGCUGGCGGCAUGCCUAACACAUGCAAGUCGAACGAGACCUUCGGGUCUAGUGGCGCACGGGUGCGUAACGCGUGGGAACCUGCCCUUAGGUUCGGAAUAACUCCCCGAAAGGGGUGCUAAUACCGGAUAAUGUCUUCGGACCAAAGAUUUAUCGCCUUUGGAUGGGCCCGCGUUGGAUUAGCUAGUUGGUAGGGUAGAAGCCUACCAAGGCGCCGAUCCAUAGCUGGUCUGAGAGGAUGAUCAGCCACACUGGAACGGAGACACGGUCGAGACUGGGACGGGAGGCAGCAGUGGGGAAUAUUGGACGAGGGGCGAAAGCCGGAUACGGGCAUGCCGCGUGUGUGAAGAAGGUCUUAGGAUUGUAAAGCACUUAAAGCUGGGAGGAAGGGCAGUAAGUUAAUACCGUGCUGUUUUGACGUUACCGUCAGAAUAAGCACCGGCUAACUUCGUG
rnacentral:rRNA from 1 species